AACCAUAAAACAGUAAAGUUUUAACGCGUUUUUUUAAAUACUACAACUUUGUAAUACUGCGCAAUUUUAAAGAUGCACGGAAUUUAGUUAGUAAAAAGGAAAAAAAAAAGAAUUCUUCGGAAGGAUCUUCGGUGUAUUCGAAAUUUCGAAGAGAUUCAUUCCAUCGAAAUCGCAAUUUCAUUUGUUCGAAUUUUCAAUUUUCUAAAUAUAUAUCGCACCGAGAAUAUUUUGCAUUAUUCCCCGAUCGGCGGGAAUAAUUAAUAGAACGAUCGGCGAAGAGAGGAGAGAGGGGAAGUAUUUGAAGCAAAGGUAGACGGUCGGCGAAUAUGCACAGGCAUCGUCGGUAUUUCGACGCGACUCUACGGUGUCCGGUCGUAAACGAAAGUGAAAAUAAAUUGGUCGGACGGUUCCACCGCAAAAUGCAAUUUACUCCAUUCAUGGAGCCGGGUCCCUCGCGCGCGUGUGUAUGCACGCAUGUACGCACGCGCGUGUGUAUGCACGCAUGUACGCACGCGCGUGUAUAUAUGCAUGCAUGAAUGUAUGUGUGCGCGUGCGCGCAUCGAAACGGGAGAUCUCGGGGCCUCGACCACGGCAGACACCUAAAUUAUGUUUCACGGCCGAUUCUCAAUUCACUUUCUUUCUCGCCUCUUACUCGCGUCUCUUUCCUCGAAACGGUUCGAGGAAUGCACGCGCCGCCUCCGGUGCACCGAUCCGACAUCGGUAUCAUUUUUUUUUCCCCCCUCCCCUCCCCUCCCCUUCCCUCGAUCCACCUUUGUCAUUUCUGUCAACUGACGUUCAACCGAGCAAAAACAAAAAAAAAAAGAAAGGAAAAAAAUCUUCCUUUUAUCCCGGCGUGACGUGACGUGUUGCGUGUCGACUCGUCGUCGUCGUCUUCGUCGUCUUCGUCGUCCUUACGCGUGGAGCGGAGCCUCUGACUCCGAGUUUAAACUUUUUUACCCUUGGAUCGCGAAUAAAUUAACCGCGUGGCAUCUAUGGUAUUAUUAUGUUAUUACCGCGGCUACUCGCCGCGAUGUUCCUUCUCCUCUCUCUCUCUCUCUCUCUCUCUCCCCUUCUUUCUUUUUCUCUUUCUCUCUCUGUCGUCUAUUAAUUUAUCGUAUUCUUUUACGGCGCGUAACGCUCAAGGGUCGGCCACUAUAAACGGAUGCUUAAUAACAUCCUCGGAUAUACCUAGCGGAUAAUGAUUACGAGUCAAACAUUUCUACGUUUACUUUGGGACCCCGGCCUCCCAUUACACCCAUGAAUAUUACUCUUCAUAAAGUCGGGUGUCACGCGCCGUACGAACCGUAUUUACGAUCCCCUCCUCUCCCUCCGCCCGCCCGCCCGCUCGCGCAUGCCCAACGACGACGACGACGAGCGAUACCUCGUGGCCGUGGUUACUUAUUAAGUCCUCCUCUAUUAACUUCCUUCUCCUUAAUGUUGGCACCACUGACUCGAGUCAGUGGCAACGGUCGCUCCAAGUUGCCUGCUUUCGGACACGAAAAACGGAUCGGAUUCCGACGUCGUCUUUGGACGACGGAUCGUGUACGGAACGAACGCGUGUUCGUCGCGUGUGGACGAGGCAUAAGCUUCUCGAAAGUGAGAAUCGUUCGGGAAUCGCCGUCUUCCUCGUUUCCAUCUUCCUCUUCCUCCGGCGACGAGUCUCCCCUCCCCCUCCCCCUCGAUCGCGCUUGAAUAUUAAAAGUAUGGAGCGGAUCGAGAGGCACGUGUGUCGCGUGGGAGAUACACGUGGUAUGAAAAGUCCACCCACCAGGAGGAGUUGAAACCGCAUUCCAGGUGACGUCUGGCGCCAAAAGUGGUUCCCAACUGCGCGCCACGAGGAUAGUUGUUGAACGCGUUGCGAAUGAUUGGCAACAUGGACGAACUUUCUAACCAAGAAGGGAACCAUCGCCAGGCGAAGGUUAACGAGUAUAACAGUAUAUCGCGAUUGGACGGUGGAUCGGUCGAUGCACGAUGAUAAUUUAUCUUCUCAGAGACGACGUGGAAACGACGAACUCGAAUGGGAGGAAGGAAGCGUGAAGGAAGGGGGAAAGUAGGUGGGCGACCUUUCGACGCCCCCGUAGGACGUUUUUCUUCUCCUCCUUUCUUUCCUUUUCUUUUCUUUUCUUUUUUUCACGGAAUAAGAAGAAGUAAUAAUAACAAUGAGAAAUGUGACGAGCGGAUGUGACAAUGGCGCCCCCUCCCUCCCCUGGAUAAUGACAAUGUUUCAGGCUGAACGCGAAAGAAUGCCAGUUAGAAGAAGAAGAAGAAGAAGAAGAAGAAGUAGAAGGUCGUUGGCCUUCGUACGACAUUCGUUCGUGUAAUUGUUAUGCACCAGACAUCGGGCGAGGCCGUGUUGAACCGCGAAAGAUACCCAAAGAAAGAAAGAUUCCGUGAAAGAAGAAUUAUCAUUCACCUUGGAGUGAAAGAGAGGGGAGGAGGCGGCUUUUCCACUGAACCACAGAUCGGUAUUCGGUGUUGCGCACGCGCCGUAGAAGAGGGAAACGAUCUCGUAACGAGCCGUUGGAGGAAUUUAAAUCUGCUCGGACGAAAUUAACUCAACAUUAUUGGAUUGGCUAUGCUCCUGUUUGUUACGAUCUGCAUUAAUAAUUAAUAAUGUGACAGGAUUUGGGGAAACAGGUUUUAUAAAAAUAUUUCUGAGAUAUUUGCCGAUCGAAUUAAUCUUAAUCUCUUUUUUUUUUUCUGGAUCAAAUCUUCUGAUUUAUUUUUCAUUUAUUAAAAAUGUAGUAAAUUCUCCUCGUUAAAGUGUCCUAAAAUUUUUCCCAAAAUUCGUUGAUUAUCAAGUCAUCUUGAAGAAUAAUAAAAUGAUUUAAAUAUAAUCCAGAUCCUGUUCCACGAGAAUGAAAUCUAUUUUGCAAAAAUAGAAGAGGAUACUCUUAAACAUCCUUAUCUGAAAACUUAAUUGGGAAAUUGGUUCGAAUGGAAUUAAGCGAAGGAAUAAAUUGUUGAACGAUCGGUUCGUUGCGGUUGGUAAGCCAUCGUACGUAGAUGGAAAACUUCUUUGACGUUUUUCUCUCGACUUACUUAUUACUUUUUGCGAUCUAUCCUCCGCCCAAUGUUAUUGCGUAAUAUUAUUACAUUUUCUCUGUUUUCGAUUUACAUGGUUAUCCAAUGGGAAACCGCGGCUGUGUGAAAGUAAAGCGUAAGCGAUCCGGACCUUUUAGAAAGCCGACACGGCCGAUUGUUCCCCAGAGUAGUAAAUAUAUCGAUACACGGCCAAAAAUUGCGCAGCUACCUAUUGUUAGGCGGAAACAAAGCGUAGGUAACUUCUGUCUGCCUGUGCGGGUCGCCUCCCGCUCGCUAGCGAUGGGAUCGAGUUCCUCGCAGGUUCGAACAAGAUUCAAAGAAUCCUUUUACGUACGUGUCUCUAUAAAAAAAGAUAUACGUAAAAGUAUUCUAAGACCAAGAUCAAAACAACAAUUUUAAUUCUCUCAAAUUUACUUAUUUACUAAUUUUCAUUCACAUACUCUUAUAAAACUAUUACUAUAAUAUUCUUACGAAACAUGUAUAAUUUUAUAAUUCCAUUUGUCAUAAAAGUUUCGAUUGUUUCGUUUUACAAGCAAUCGAAAUAUUCGUUCAGAGGAAAUAAAUCUUUUAAAUUUGAGCUUUUUAUUAUUAGAAUCUAAAUCAAUCGAAUCGUAUUUAUAAACGUUCGUUGAAAGUCGACUUGUUUUAUUUUUCUCGGUUUGUUCGAACCCAUCACUACCGGUCCGCCGUUACGCGAAAGGAUUCUGCGCCCGAGUCGGUGCGAGCAGCAUUGUGACGACCCAGUAGGAAAACACGCGGAACAACUCGCAUUCUUUCGCAGCCAGACGCAGGGAUCGCGCGUCGCAAUAAGGCGGGCGGUGAGAGGGAAGGAAAAAGGGGGACGUUUGGUAUAGUUGCGCGUAGCCGAGCGUUGCACCCGAUCGAGGUGUUGUUGCUUUGCAAUCGUUACAAAUCGCGCGCGAACGUAGCAAUCGGCUUCGAACGAGCCGUGGCAAAUCGGAACGGCCUCCGAUAAAUCCCGUGGCUUGGAUCGCCACGCCACCGGAACAAUCGUUCCCGAGCAAACUUUUUUAUUCUCUCGAACAAAAGAUCGGCGAAUGUUCAUUUCGCGAUGAAUGGCUUAGCGGCGAGAUGCAUCGACGAUAAAAAAAAAAAAAAAUAAAAAACACGAGUAACCUAAAUCUAAGAGGAAUCGAGACACGAGAUUUCCUCCUUCUUGGAAAAUUAAUCGUUUAAUUGUCGUUAAUCAGCGUACACUAGUAGCUUCGUUGGUCUCGUUUUUCUUUCUUCUUUUCUCAGAAGAUUAAAAAAAAUUCGUAAGAAUUUUCGGAAAAUUUAAGAUUAUCGAAAUGAGAAAAUGACGAAGUUUGAUGAUUAGAAUUUGACGUAUCGAUUUAUAUCGUAUCCACUACGAACUAUGCAGAUGCUAUUAUUUAUGUAAUAAUGCAUACUCUCGAUAUUUAACCUCGUUCGACGCAGAUGAACCGCGUUACGACAUGUGUUUUUACGAUCAAAGCGAUUCAAAGAAUAGUAGCGAUAAGGGCCACAUGGUGUAUGGUAUCGGCCAAUUAAUUCGCAUGAAUCGGAUCACGGAUAAAAGAUUGUUGAUCGUUCCCGAUCCGCAAGUCUCGCAGUCUAGUUCGUUAAUUGAUCUUUAAACGCAACACGUAACGUUGCGAACGUUCCAUCCAUCGAAAAAUAAUUGACGCGUGACGCGAUGUUUCGAUCCCUCGAUAAAUUAGAGAACUGACUGACCAAUCGAACGAGAGAUGAAUUAUUAUAUCGUCGAAUCCAUUUUUUAAAAUUUCCUUAUUUAUA
rnacentral:lncRNA from 1 species